AAUCUUAUAGUUUAUUUUAAAAUUUUAAAUUGCAAAUUUAAAGAAGUAAAUUUAAUUUUACUAAGAUUU
rnacentral:tRNA from 1 species